UGGCCACACAGCAAUGACAUUCUAAUUUUAAAAAGCCUUGCACCCGGCCAGGCGCGGUAGCUCACGCUUGUAAUCCCAGCAGUUUGGCAGGCUGAGGUGGGCGGAUCAUCAGGUCAGGAGUUCAAGACCAGCCUGGCCAACACAGUGAAACCCCAUCUCUACUAAAAAUACAAAAAUUAGCGGGGCAUGGUGGCGGGCACUUGUAAUCCCAGCUACUUGGGAGGCUGAGGUAGGAGAAUCACUUGAACCUGGGAUGUGGGAUUGCAGUGAGCUGAGAUCAUGCCAAUACACUCCAGCCUGGAUGACAAAGCUAGACUCCAUCUCAAAAACAAUAAAUAAAUAAAUAAAGCCUUGCACCCAUGCCACUGACAAGCCUUAACGGUAGGUCUAAAAUCCUAAAAUCUACCCCAGCACUGACUAAAUUCAAACCCAGUCCUUAUGUUUGUGUUGCAUGAGAACCUGACUGACAUACAGACUUCCCCCACUCACCUUAGCCUCCACAGCUUGGAAGAGGUGGCACUGCUGGGUGAGCUAAAACACUGCCAGUCCUUAUGCUGAUUUUCUAAUUCAGCACCUACCCUGUGUCACUACAAAGCCAGGGGCAGCAGCAUUGAUGUGGAGCUGGGAGAUGGGAAAGAAGUCCCUCAGGAGACCAGAGGGGAAAGGUGCUGAUUCUGUCCCUUCUCUCUCAAGGAUGAGUGUUUUCAGCUCUUUCUCUCAUCCACAUCUCCAAGUCCUUCGUGUCUUGAUGAUGUUUACAGUUCAGCUUAUGCUGGAUGGGAAACUUAGACUCCAGCAGAGUGUUUUCUGUGGGAAUGACAGGAAGCCAAGGAGCCCUCUGGGGACUUCUGAGGCACUGACGUUGCUCCUUAGAAUAAUGAGAUGUCCUCUGUUUUGAGGAAGUAACAUUUGAGAAAAAGAUCUGAAUAAAGAAAU
rnacentral:lncRNA from 1 species